rnacentral:rRNA from 1 species
UACAGGGGGUGCAAACGUUGCUCGGAAUUAUUGGGCGUAAAGCGCGCGUAGGCGGCUACUUGUGUCGGAUGUGAAAGCCCCUGGCUCAACUGGGGAAGUGCACCCGAAACUGAGUAGCUGGAGUACGAAAGAGGGUCGCGGAAUUCCCGGUGUAGAGGUGAAAUUCGUAGAUAUCGGGAGGAACACCGGUGGCGAAGGCGGCGACCUGGGUCGAUACUGACGCUGAUGCGCGAAAGCGUGGGGAGCAAACAGG